CUUCGAGUCCCAGUUUGACCGAGAGCUUUUCUGUGUGGAAUUCACAUGGUCUCCCUGGACACGCGCUGUGAGGACGGCUUCCGUCUCCUAAAAGACAAGAGCUUACAGCUAUAUAACAUCACGUUAAUAUGGGCCAGUGUGAAUGAGGGACGAGGAAGGAAGAGCUCACCUGUCUGUCCUGCUCUGUUCUAAAAGCUGUGAGCAAGCUGCGAAGUCACAACGAGGACAACUGUGACCGCUUGACCCCUCCCUCACUAAUGCUGAAGGUAUCUGUUAAAUGGAUAAUGUUUCUUAUGCUCCGUUCCUUCUUCCUUUUCACUUAAUGCAAAUCCCCUACUCUCAGCACUUUUUUUGGCCCAACAUUUCUUUGUCCUACUUUAAUCGGAUUCAACAUCCGUCUAAGGGGAGAGAAAAAAGUUAAGUAAGAUGAAGUGCGAAGAGGUGGAAACUAAAACGGGGAGAGAAAAGAAGAACGAGCUGGGCCACCGAGGUCAAGGAUGGUGUGAAGCCUCAUUUUAAGAGCCUGAGGAUUGGGUUCUUCAGUAUCGGAGAUGAGAUGAGACACGCUGUUUAUAUUUAAUGUGAGAUGCUUGUUGAAAGGGGACUUAAUUUACUCAGUUUUCGCUGACUCUGUCACUGCCACUUCUUCCUUUAAAUACACACGUAGGGAAUGUCUGUGGAUCAUAAUUAUAGACCGUUUUUAUGACCGAAAGCUGACAUCAUUGACAACAGCUAAUACAUUUAUAGUGACUCAGUAAACGGCUCUGACUGUAAACUGAUUAAAUAUACUUACACUUAUACUUAAAGGGGAUCUUUGUGUAUGUGUUGGCUUUUAACGGUCUGUUGGUUGAGCAGAACACUGAGCUGGGGAUUUGUCUUUGACCACAGAUACUAAAAGAAUUUUUAAAGCUCUUACAACGUAAGCAUCCACUCAGUGACAUAUCAUGUUCUAUAUACAGAUAGAUCACUGGAUUACAUGAAACAAUAUCACAUGCUCUCAAAAAAGUUGAUGUUACAUUAUUUUGUUGCCCAAGAAUUAUGUUUAUUAUUUCAGUAAAGGUUUUCACAUAGUUUUUUCCUUGAUCCCUCGUUGUUGUUUUUUUCUUCCAUCGUGAA